rnacentral:lncRNA from 1 species
UUUGUUUGAGAGUGCGUGUGUGCACACGUGAGUGAGAGAGGGGCAGAGAGAGAGGCGAAAAAGAAUCCCAAGCAGACUCUGCGCUGAGGUGCUGAUCACAGACCUGAGGUGGGACUCCAUCCCCCAACCCAUGAGAUCAUGACCUGAGCCGAAACCAAGAGUCUGACGCUUAACCGACUGAGCCACCCAGGCUUAUUUUUAAAGAGAAAAAUCUACCCAUUGCCAAAAUGCCCAGCUAUGUCUGGCCUAUGUUUCAUUUAAAUACUCUUUCAGCCAACCCCCAGCCCACUCCAGGUGGGGACCCAAUGUGGACUCAGCCAAGAGCUUCUGGUGCCCUUCGGGGUCAGCAGGGCUCAGAGCCAGCUUCAGGUCCAACCUGGAAGGCCACCUGACCAGAGCUAUCAACCAUGCUACCCCACCAACGCCAAGGCUGGAGCUAAUUAAUUAACAUGGAUUUCUAAAGAUGUUUCUAAUGAUGCAAGCAGGGAAGAGCAGAAAAGGGAGUCCUUGAACUAAAGAAAACCUCCACUUUAGAGCUGUUCACUCGAGAGCUUCUCCCUGAGGAGCCCUGCAAAGUAAGGCCAGGCAUUCUGAGCAGGCACCAAGGACGAGGCUUCAUUAUGUUAAAAAAUUCAUCAGAAGACACCUCCGAGUGACUCCAGGCCUCCUCCUGUGAGGAGAAACCCAUUUGGAUAAAUUUGGAAAACCCUCGCACACUCGACAUUUUGGGGCACCCGCUGUGGGCAGAGCUCCAUGUCCAGCCUUCAUUUGGGCGGGGGAUGCCGCAGGUGCCGUGGGGCAGUGAGGAAGGCCCUGGCUGGCAAGGUGAGUUCAGGGGAGCUCCUGAGGAGGCGGUCGGGGAAGACCUCCGCUUUCCCCCAGGGCCAUCAGACCACAUCCUCUUGCACGCUCGAUGCACAAACAGGAGGCUGCCAGUCAGCUGUGUGUCUCCACGCUGGUGACCACAGUACCCCACCCCCAUCCCAUGAAUCAGGUAGCUGCAUUCGCACCUGAAAGAAGAAAGUGGUGGGAUUCCUCGUCUCCCAUCUGUGCUGACGCACCAAGCCACGGAACCGGAUGCGUUCUCUUCAAGGACAAGGGAGACCAAAAUCCCAGCUCACCCUUGCUAGCCCAGGAUUACUGCUGAUACCGUCCGUUUUAACUCCAAACAUCCUUGUUUGGAAAGAAAAAGAAAACUGAUGGUCACCCCACCCAUUUCCCCAUCAAAGUUUCAUGGCAAUUUCGCAACUUUCAGUCUCCAUCCAGGCUGCCCCAGCCUGCCGACCAGCCUUCAGACACCUUCACUCCUGUGUCCUCACCCACUUGCCCACUGGUGAGUUCCUCACACUAUCCAGGAGUCCUCACGCUCAGGGAAGCCCCCUGAUCCUCAGCCCUCCAUCCAUUUCCUGGGUCCCCAACCUCAUUCACUGCACUUAGCACACCACUCUGCAACAGCCUAUCUCUUGGGCCUGUGAACUCCUGGCAGGCACCCACUGCCGUAUUAGCCUCCUCCAAGUCCUUCACUUGUAACGCAGCACCUCGCUUAGACAGGUAUUUGGUAAAUAACAUUUGCUAAAUUCACUGCCAUCAAUCAGGGCCCAGGAGUCAGCUAGAACCACCAGCACCUUUCCUCUCCCUGGUCCCAGGUGCCCUACAGAGAUGUCACUCUGGGAUGAUGGCAGCACUUAGAAGUGGGCAGGAGGCCCAAUCAGACCCCACAACUACCUGGGCAAGAGAGUCCCCAAGAUCCACAAGAGCAGGGGCUGAUUUGGUCACAUGAUCUCAAAGGAGCCUUUACAAGCUCAGACGUUUUGCAACUCUUAAGUCUGUAACUCAGCUUCUUCAGAAUAGAAAUCGGGCCUAGUUAUGUCCAUCACAAGCCUCGAAAAUAUUAGUGCCAUCAAGUCCACAUGGGGAAAUCCUCAGACAAGCACCAAAAUUUAACAUGCACAGACGCUCACUGCAGCACGUUUUGUAGUAAGAGAAACUAAACAAAGCAUGUCCUUGGAAUGCCAUCUGCCAUUAAAAAUCACAUUUUAGAACAGUAACAUGAGAAGAUGAUCCUAACACGUUAAGUGAAUAAAAGGGACUGCAAAACAACAUGAGCCCAAUUCUACAAAGAAAAAAAGGGAAAGGAAAAA